GGGAUAGCUCAAUCAGUAGAGCAUGAGACUCUCAAUCUCAGGGUUGUGGGUUCGAGUCCCACAUUGAAAUA